rnacentral:rRNA from 1 species
CCUACGGGAGGCUGCAGUGGGGAAUAUUGCACAAUGGGGGAAACCCUGAUGCAGCCAUGCCGCGUGUGUGAAGAAGGCCUUCGGGUUGUAAAGCACUUUCAGCGAGGAGGAAAGGGUGUAAGUUAAUACCUUACAUCUGUGACGUUACUCGCAGAAGAAGCACCGGCUAACUCCGUGCCAGCAGCCGCGGUAAUACGGAGGGUGCGAGCGUUAAUCGGAAUUACUGGGCGUAAAGCGUGCGCAGGCGGUUUGUUAAGCGAGAUGUGAAAGCCCCGGGCUCAACCUGGGAACCGCAUUUCGAACUGGCAAACUAGAGUCUUGUAGAGGGGGGUAGAAUUCCAGGUGUAGCGGUGAAAUGCGUAGAGAUCUGGAGGAAUACCGGUGGCGAAGGCGGCCCCCUGGACAAAGACUGACGCUCAGGCACGAAAGCGUGGGGAGCAAACAGGAUUAGAUACCCCAGUAGUC